rnacentral:lncRNA from 1 species
CAGGAGGCGCAGCCCCAGGCCUUCACACAACCCGAGAGGAGAGAGGGAGAGAGAAAGAGAUGGAGAAAGAUGGAGAGUGGGUGGAGAGGAGAGCUCCGGCAGCCGGCGGCGUGCUCAGGUGGCCAGGGCGCGCGCGGGGAGAGCAGGGGAACGUGGGGGAGGCGGCUAGGGAGCUAGGGCAAGGCUAGGGUUACGUUAGCUAGGUAAAAACCCUAAAAAGCCUAUGUAAGUAAGGUGCAACAUGCAAAAAGGUCCCCCAAACAUCAGAAUUACAAUCCGAGUCCCUCACGGUACGACUAAAACGCAUGAACGCCCCUCCACGUGCGAUCCCUCGCGAAACGGUACAUAAAAUAUCGCGACUUUUGCGAAAAUACCGUUUUGCCACUACCGACCUCUCCUCGAUCAACGCGCGAUCUCCGCAGAUCCGUCCGUCAGAUUCGUGAACGGAUCACACUAGUGCGAUCAGCACGACAGAGACAACAAAGCUGCGAUCAUGUUUCAUCUCGAUCGACCACGGAUUCACGACAAAAUCCAACCUUUCAUUCCAAUAGAAUGAAUAACACAAAAAUACAUAUAAAACAUGUAUUUU